UACUCCUACGGGGGGCAGCAGUGAGGAAUAUUGGUCAAUGGGCGAGAGCCUGAACCAGCCAAGUCGCGUGAAGGAUGACGGCCCUACGGGUUGUAAACUUCUUUUGUCAGGGAGCAAUUGGGUCCACGCGUGGGCUUAGCGAGAGUACCUGAAGAAAAAGCAUCGGCUAACUCCGUGCCAGCAGCCGCGGUAAUACGGAGGAUGCGAGCGUUAUCCGGAUUUAUUGGGUUUAAAGGGUGCGUAGGCGGAUAUUCAAGUCAGCGGUAAAAUGUCCGGUCUCAACCCGGGCCGGCCGUUGAAACUGG
rnacentral:rRNA from 1 species